rnacentral:rRNA from 1 species
UACGGAGGGUGCGAGCGUUGUCCGGAAUCACUGGGCGUAAAGGGCGCGUAGGCGGCCUCAUAAGUAGGGGGUGAAAUCCUGCGGCUUAACCGCAGGGCUGCCUUCUAAACUGUCAGGCUAGAGCACAGUAGAGGCAGGUGGAAUUCCCGGUGUAGCGGUGGAAUGCGUAGAGAUCGGGAAGAACAUCAGUGGCGAAGGCGGCCUGCUGGGCUGUUGCUGACGCUGAGGCGCGACAGCGUGGGGAGCAAACAGG